GCGGUCUCCACUUGCUCUUAGGUUUGCUGGUUACUGAGGUGACUGUUGCCAUGGGAUCCUGGGAAUGACCUCCACAUCAACAUGGCUGCUGGUGCACCCCCGCACCAUCACAGUUGCAGGCCAUUUUGCUGGUAUCAUCCAGGCUAAAAAGUUGAAACAUCUGGUACAGCACGAGGCAUGCUGUGUGGUUGAAGAGACGGUUUCUUUUCCAGUUGAACUCUACUUUUUCCUCUUGAAAGUCAUGCAGCACUAACAAAGUCUCAGGAAUGAAAGCCUGGAUGGCUUUGAAACGCUCAACCACAAACCCCAGAGUAGGAAACUGACAGCUGCCGUAUGAGAUCAGCUGAUUGGCCAGAGCCUCUGGAAAGAUCUUGCACAGACGCAGUGUCUGAAAUCGAGUGAACGACGCACCUGAGGAAGAUGAUACAGAAGAAAGGUUGAGAUCUGUUUGUUCGGUGCUACCUCACCUAUGCGUAAGUCCAGCUCCUGCCGCACAUCGACAGCAUCACUGACGUUUAUGUCCGGCUCUGUUAGAUUUUCACAGGCUCUUCGUAUAGAAGUUUGGGUUAUUUCAGAAAACUUG